CCCCAGUAAACGGCGGCCGUAACUAUAACGGUCCUAAGGUAGCGAAAUUCCUUGUCGGGUAAGUUCCGACCCGCACGAAAGGCGUAACGAUUUGGGCACUGUCUCAACGAGAGACUCGGUGAAAUCAUAGUACCGGUGAAGAUGCCGGUUACCCGCGACAGGACGGAAAGACCCCGUGGAGCUUUACUGUAGCCUGAUAUUGAAAUUCGGUACAGUUUGUACAGGAUAGGUAGGAGCCUUAGAAGCGUGAGCGCUAGCUUACGUGGAGGCAUUGGUGGGAUACUACCCUAAUUGUAUUGGAUUUCUAACCCGCAGCACUUAUCGUGCUGGGAGACAGUGUCAGGCGGGCAGUUUGACUGGGGCGGUCGCCUCCUAAAGAGUAACGGAGGCGCUCAAAGGUUCCCUCAGAAUGGUUGGAAAUCAUUCAUAGAGUGUAAAGGCAUAAGGGAGCUUGACUGCGAGACCUACAAGUCGAGCAGGGUCGAAAGACGGACUUAGUGAUCCGGUGGUUCCGCAUGGAAGGGCCAUCGCUCAACGGAUAAAAGCUACCCCGGGGAUAACAGGCUUAUCUCCCCCAAGAGUUCACAUCGACGGGGAGGUUUGGCACCUCGAUGUCGGCUCAUCGCAUCCUGGGGCUGUAGUCGGUCCCAAGGGUUGGGCUGUUCGCCCAUUAAAGCGGUACGCGAGCUGGGUUCAGAACGUCGUGAGACAGUUCGGUCCCUAUCCGUCGUGGGCGUAGGAAAUUUGAGAGGAGCUGUCCUUAGUACGAGAGGACCGGGAUGGACAUACCUCUGGUGUACCAGUUGUCGUGCCAACGGCAUAGCUGGGUAGCUAUGUAUGGACGGGAUAAGUGCUGAAAGCAUCUAAGCAUGAAGCCCCCCUCGAGAUGAGAUUUCCCAACUUCGGUUAUAAGAUCCCUCAAAGAUGAUGAGGUGAAUAGGUUCGAGGUGGAAGCGUAGCGAUACGUGGAGCUGACGAAUACUAAUCGAUCGAAGACUUAAUCAA
rnacentral:rRNA from 1 species